UCUCAAAGAAAAGCAAUGCACCCGAACCUCAGAAAGCACUUGGGAGGCGGCAUGGGGCAAGCAACGUGAGAGUUUAUCUACAAACAACAGUUGGAGAAAGAGUUGAUGGGAAAAAGUAGAAGAAAGUUGUGCUGCACAACCAGGCAUCCUAGAGAACGUGCUGGGACCAGGGACCAAGAAGAACUCUGCAGCUCAAGGACCUACUUAGAAAAAUGGACAUCAGCAGCAACAAACAAUGACCCAGGCUCUGACUGAGCAUCUCCAGGACCCAAACCUAGUGUCAUCAUCACCAAUAUAUCCUUCCCCAAAGAGAAAUUUAUCACAUUCUUUCAGAACAUCUUAUCAAAAACUAUCUGUAUUCUGACAAUAGGAACAUAUAAGCAUGCCUACCAUGUAAGAGAGAAGGAACAUGUGGAACAGUUAGAGUGGCAUCGGCAAAAUUCCAGAGCACGACUAUCAUUCCUACUUGAACACAGGGCCCUGAGACUCCGUAGUCUUUCUGGUCUUGAGAUAGGACAGAGAAGAGACACAAAGACUGCUAUGACAGCAGAGAUGGCCUCUGCAUCUUAGAAGAUCUUUAGAAAGCCUCAGUCAUGGGGGAACAAUACUGAUGCUCAGCUUUACCUACCUGACUGUAUGUAACCCUGGGAAGCAAAUUAGCACUGCUGUCAUCUAAAGCUGUAUAGGAAUGGUCACUCUGUAGAAGCAGCCAGAAGGCAAACCCUAGGUUCUAUCACACUGGAGUCUGGCGAGGAUGGAAAGUGGAAGCUUUCAAUAGUCAAAUGACAAAAAGAAGAUUAAGAGGGAGAUCAAAGGUGAUUUUGGAAGAGGAGAUCAAAUUAUUUAAUAAUUGGAUAGCCGCAUUCCAUAAAUAGGCUUCAACAUAGACGCAUGCGGAGAAAAACCAAAUCCAUCUCUAUUUAAUCCCUCCUUUCUAGGAGAAGAACAGAGGACUUUUUACUCACACCAUCUACAUUCCAAUCAACUGUCUUGGUCUUAAGUUUUGAUCUGUUGGGUUUUCAGAUUGCUGACUACUUAACAGGGCUGUUUCUGCAUGGGAAGUCACUUGGGCUGAGUCUCUGAUUUAUAGCUCUGACCACAGCUCACCAGAAGGAUGGGAUAUUGAUGGUCAAGAAAGGACAUUGGCCUUUAAAGUGAUUGAAGGAACUUGCUUUGGGGAAAGUGAGAAGAGAAAGAGGAGAGACAUGAAUGUAUCAAGACUAGCAAUCUGAAAGCCUCAACGGCCAUCAAUCAAACUGCCCCUUAUGAAGGCAAAUGAAUAGUGCUAGAAAACAACAAAAAAACCCAUCCUGAAUGAAGACCU